rnacentral:rRNA from 1 species
CUUCCUGCCGGGCGACCGGCGCACGGGUGAGUAACACGUAUGCAACCUGGCCGUCACAGGUGGAUAACCGGAAGAAAUUCCGACUAAUACAGCAGUAACACCCCCGGGAGGGACAUCCUUUCGGGGUCAAAGGAGGCAACUCCGGUGACGGAUGGGCAUGCGGCGCAUUAGGUAGUUGGUAGGGUAACGGCCUACCAAGCCGACGAUGCGUAGGGGUUCUGAGAGGAAGGUCCCCCACAUUGGAACUGAGACACGGUCCAAACUCCUACGGGAGGCAGCAG